rnacentral:rRNA from 1 species
CUAAGGCGAAACCGCGAAUGGCUCAUUAAAUCAGCUGUGGUUCAUUGGAUCUUAAACCCACUUACUUGGAUAACUGUGGUAAUUCUAGAGCUAAUACAUGCCAACAGUCUCUGACCGCGAGGGAAGAGCGCUUUUAUUAGUUCACAAAACUGGUCGGUCCUCGGGCCGUAUUGCCAAUGUGAUGAAUCUGAAUAACUUUUUGCUGAGCGCAAGGUCUCAAGCACCGGCGCCGAAUCUUUCAAGUGUCUGCUCUAUCAGCUCUCGACUGUAGGUUAUGUGCCUACAUUGGCUAUAACGGGUAACGGGGAAUCGGGUUCGAUUCCGGAGAGGGAGCCUGAGAAACGGCUACCACAUCUAAGGAAGGCAGCAGGCACGCAAAUUACCCACUCCCGGCACGGGGAGGUAGUGACGAAAAAUAACGGUGCGAGACUCAUCCGAGGCCUCGCAAUCGGAAUGAGUACACUUUAAAUCCUUUAACGAGGAUCCAUUGGAGGGCAAGUCUGGUGCCACAACCGCGGUAAUUCCAGCUCCAAUAGCGUAUAUUAAAGUUGUUGCGGUUAAAAAGCUCGUAGUUGAUUCUCAGUUCUGGACUGAUGGUGCACCGCCCGGUGUUUUUCCGUCAUGCUCCGAACAGAUACCCCGCCGGCUCGCACGGGGUGCUCUUUACCGAGUGUCUCGCGUGGCCGGCAUGUUUACUUUGAAAAAAUUAGAGUGCUCAAAGCAGGCUACAUGAAUGGCCUGAAUGGUGAUGCAUGGAAUAAUGGAAUAGGACCUCGGUUCUAUUUUAUUGGUUUUCUGAACCCGAGGUAAUGACUAAUAGAAACAGGCGGGGGCAUUCGUAUUGCGACGCUAGAGGUGAAAUUCUUGGACCGUCGCAAGACGAACUACUGCGAAAGCAUUUGCCAAGGAUGUUUUCAUUAAUCAAGAACGAAAGUUAGAGGUUCGAAGGCGAUCAGAUACCGCCCUAGUUCUAACCAUAAACUAUGCCAACUAGCGAUCCGCCGGCGUUAUUCCCAUGACUCGGCGGGAAGCUUCCGGGAAACCAAAGUCUUUGGGUUCCGGGGGAAGUAUGGUUGCAAAGCUGAAACUUAAAGGAAUUGACGGAAGGGCACCACCAGGAGUGGAGCCUGCGGCUUAAUUUGACUCAACACGGGAAACCUCACCAGGCCCGGACACCAGAAGGAUUGACAGAUUGAGAGCUCUUUCUCGAUUCGGGUGGGUGGUGGUGCAUGGCCGUUCUUAGUUGGUGAACCGAUUUGUCUGA